UUAAAAAGCUCGUAGUUGAAUUUCGGGAUUGACGUGAUGGUCGUGCCUUAAGGGGUAUGAACUGUUGCUGUUGAUUUCUCACCUUCUGGAGAAACUUGAUGUCCUUAAUUGGGUGUCUUGCGGAUCCAGGACCUUUACCUUGAAAAAAUUAGAGUGUUUAAAGCAGGCAUUUUGCUCGAAUACAUUAGCAUGGAAUAAUAGAAUAGGACGGCAUGGUUCUAUUUUGUUGGUUUCUAGGAUCACCGUAAUGAUUAAUAGGGAUAGUUGGGGG
rnacentral:rRNA from 1 species